CAGCGUUACCAUGGAAACACAAGGCCCCCAUGAGUACAAGGAGAAGACACCUCUCCCCCGCCAUGAUGAUUUCUUUCUCCUGUAAUGAGAAGGCAGCAAGGAGCUUUGAUGUCAUCAUCGAUAUUAAACAAGCAGAAAGAGUUCGGGAAGCCAAAGUCACUUCCUGUCGUAUUUGAGUGUGAGCAGCUGUCUGCUAUCAGACAAAGAAAGAGGAGGGAUUGUCCCAUCUGCUUGUGUUUAAGCUGACGGCUGCGUUUCCUGCAGUCCCGCGCCGACGACCACAUCAAGCGUCAAACGGCAAAGAACCCCUUUGGAAUGUCAUGUGCAUGACGUUUGUGAAUCGAAGACCAGGGUAAACAAGGAGCUCCAAAGCACCACGACAAGAACAUCAACUUGAUUGUGUUAUUCCAGAAAGACAUCGGGCAACACGGUGAACUAGUGGUCAAUGUUUGUUUGUCGUUAUGUGCCCUGACAUUGACCAACUAACUAACGAACCCUCAUCUCAGUCCUGGGUGUACUCAAAAAGUCAAUUCGGAUGGUCCCCUUACCCUAACGCGACCCCUUGAGAACCAGCAAUAGAAAACUGAUGGAUAAAGGAACUUUUGUAAACAUCCGUAGUUAAACACGACCAAGAAUCCCAAUAAACAUUCUUGAUGACCUGUA